UACAGAGGUGGCAAGCGUUGUUCGGAAUUACUGGGCGUAAAGGGCGCGUAGGCGGCCUUCUAAGUCAGACGUGAAAUCCCCCGGCUUAACCUGGGAACUGCGUCUGAUACUGGGAGGCUCGAGUAUGGGAGAGGGAUGUAGAAUUCCAGGUGUAGCGGUGAAAUGCCUAGAUAUCUGGAGGAAUACCGGUGGCGAAGGCGGCAUCCUGGACCAUUACUGACGCUGAAUCGCGAAAGCUAGGGGAGCAAACGGG
rnacentral:rRNA from 1 species